CGCGCGAGACCGUGGGGCCUGUUCUCAGAUGGCCACCCCGCUGGACGGCACGCCCCGGGACAGCGCCGGCCCCCAGCCUGCCCCUCCACGCCCGGGUGUCCAGAUAGAGCCCGAAGCUGGGGGUCUCAGGAGAGCCGGCCAAAAGUGCACUUAGGGGACCCUUGAGUGUUUGAGCACCGGAAUCUUCGCUCCCGCCCCCCACCCCCCAACUUUGCAUCAAAUUGUGCAGGAUGGGCAGGCGCCAGGAACUGAACCGGCAGGCCCAGAGACUGAGGACUGAGACGCCGAUCACCGAGGUCAACCACCAGGAUGCAGAGAGAGCGCCGUCCUGUCCCUCCGACGGGAGCCCCUCCCCAGGAGAGCAGCUGACUGAAGCAGGAGAUGCCUGGACCCUGAGGUCACUGCCAAGGAGGUCAGCCCCUCCUCCUGCGGCCACGAGCAGAAACCGCCUCGUCCCAGCCCCGGUCAGCGUGCCCUGCAGCCUGUCCAGGCAAGGCU